AUUGAACGCUGGCGGCAGGCCUAACACAUGCAAGUCGAACGGUAGCACAGAGAGCUUGCUCUUGGGUGACGAGUGGCGGACGGGUGAGUAAUGUCUGGGAAACUGCCCGAUGGAGGGGGAUGACUACUGGAAACGGUAGCUAAUACCGCAUAACGUCUUCGGACCAAAGUGGGGGACCUUCGGGCCUCACACCAUCGGAUGUGCCCAGAUGGGAUUAGCUAGUAGGUGGGGUAAUGGCUCACCUAGGCGACGAUCCCUAGCUGGUCUGAGAGGAUGACCAGCCACACUGGAACUGAGACACGGUCCAGACUCCUACGGGAGGCAGCAGUGGGGAAUAUUGCACAAUGGGCGCAAGCCUGAUGCAGCCAUGCCGCGUGUAUGAAGAAGGCCUUCGGGUUGUAAAGUACUUUCAGCGGGGAGGAAGGCGAUGGAGUUAAUAGCUUCAUCGAUUGACGUUACCCGCAGAAGAAGCACCGGCUAACUCCGUGCCAGCCGCCGCGGUAA
rnacentral:rRNA from 1 species